AUCUCUCUCUCACGUAUACCCAUCAUUUCACUCAUUCUCUCUUUCUGUCUCUCUCUCACAUACACACCUUUCUCACACGUAUUUCUACCUUUCACUCCCUAUCUCUUUCUCUCAACACACACACACAUUAACUCUCUCUCCCUCCCCCUUCUCUCUCACUCUAUAUUCACCUUGCUACGUGAAGUUUCGCUUCACCAUUUUUCUAAGUGACACGCAUCGACUUUUAGGUGCUCAAGAUGAGAUCAGAUGAUGGAACCCUGUUGACAUUUGGUCUGGUUGUAAACGUGUAUCCAUCUGUCUGUCUAUCGAUCUUUCUGUCUAUUAUCUUACUAUCUCCUCGUCUCUCUCUCUCCCUUUCUCUCUCUCAUACACAGACACGAACACACAUACAUACAUACAUACAUACAUACAUACAUACAUACUUGUAAGUUUGGUGAUGCAGCAGGAAAAUAGAACUCAAAACAUGAACAUAGUGAGUCGAAUAUUACAUUUCAAAACGUGUCUUUCUCACCAAUCCCGCUUUUUCAAGACUGUUGGCAUGAUUUGAGGGAGAUUUCACCUUCUGUUUCUAGCGGAUCGAGUGGCAACAGAGACUCUCUUUGAUGUCUCGAGCAUCGACCUGACUUAAUCAAUAGAAAUCAGACAUCAGUAGUUCAAUUAAAGCUGAAGAUUCUUGUAAUUUUAUUGAAGAUAAUAAACAUAAAAUAAUUU